GUCAUCAACGUGGCCAAAACAGAGAAGCCAGGGCUCUCCUGUGAUCACUCUGGACAGCACACACAGAAACGUUGCCUUUGUCUUGGCCAGGCUCAGUGUUGUCACGAAUACAAGACAGACAACAUGCAACGGGAGGGAGGCAGGAGCUGGUUUUACUCCUGUGUGAAUAUCAGGAGUGCAGUAAUACUUGCACUGAUCCAGCUGCAGUGGGCUGCACGAGAACAAGUUAAAAUCUCUUUGGGGUUGUAGGUGAUCCCCAUCCAAACAAAAUGCCUUCUCUGAGAAAGCCUUCCACACCUCACUCACAUAAUCCAAGAAGCCCAAACUUCGUGGGUCUUUUUGUCAGUAUGACAUCAGAUGGGGACUUACUUGUUCUCUCUGCUUUUCUUUCUUUCUUUUUUUUUUUUUCAGAAUCAUGGAAUUUAAACAUCUUAACCUGAUUUCGAUGUGAUAUAUGCACUUUCAUGUGUAUCACAGCGUUACUCGCAAUAAUGAAAGAUAUGAAAACAACCCAAAUGCCCAUCGACAGAUGAAUGCGUAAAAAAGAUGUGGUACAUGUGCACACAGGAAUGUUAUUCAGCCAUAAGAAAGGAAGAUCUCUCCCUGUGACCACGUGGAUGGGCCUUGCGCGCAUUAUGCUACAUGAGUUAGAAACCACACACAAGUUGCAGCUUCCAGAAAGAUCUCCAAUGGCUGCAUUGGAGAUAUGGCUCGUAAAAGAG